CAUCACUACCCACUACCACCACCAACUCCCAGCCAAACCCACUGAUAUACUUCACCCAUCCCCUUCCACUUUUACUCAAUCUCCCACACAAUUUGCCAUAUUUCACUUUCAAAAGGAAACCCAACGAACAAGUGCAGAGGCUUUGAGCAUCAGAAGGAUUAGCACUGCUAUUCCGAUUCAGAGAUAAGGUUAAACGACAGGCUUUGCCUAUACAGGUUGAGCAGUUGAUGGAAUGGAAUGAUGUUGAGCGGGUGUUCCUGUGAUAUUUCAAGAAAUGUAACCUUGAGUAUACAUCUUCAUAUGUAUAUCUCACACGUUUUCCGCUGCAAAACACUUUGAUUAAGAUAGCUCUAUGAUAUGAAGUUGUGAUACGUGUUAUUGGGUAACCACCUUAAUCAGUUCUCAAUUAUGUGUAUCCAAAUAAUCAUAUAUGAUCCUAGCAUUUUAUCUAUGAGUGACAUUUUCAUAUACUUUAAUGUUAAGUAAUUGUCCAUUUCCA